UUUGAGGCCCUCCGUGCUUAAGAUCUUAUAAUGUUGGAACUAUAGUUUCGGCUUGUAUAAAGAAAUGACCCCAAGAUAUUUUACUUCUGUGUCUUCAUUUAGAUCCUGAUUCAGAUUAAACAGAUGAUGAAUGACUCAGAUGAUGACGAUUGAGAAGAUGAUGAUGAUGAAGAGAUGGUGACGAUAAUUAUGCCGAAGACAAAGAAAAUUAUGAUGAUGAUGAUUAGAUGAGUGAAG
rnacentral:lncRNA from 1 species